rnacentral:rRNA from 1 species
UUUCACAGUGGCAGUCNAAGUAUACAUCAUAAGAAUUAAAACUUUCAACAACGGAUCUCUUGGUUCUGGCAUCGAUGAAGAACGCAGCGAAAUGCGAUAAGUAAUGCGAAUUGCAGAAUUCCGUGAGUCAUCGAAUCUUUGAACGCACAUUGC